GGCAGAUCUCGUCCGUCGGAUCGAAUCCCCCUCCCCUGUAGCAUGGUUGAUCUCGUCUGGUUCGCGCCGUCGAUUACUCCUUCUGUUUGACCGGUUGUCGCUUCUCGUUCGCCCCCUUCGUUCCCUUCUCUCUGUCUCUCCUCCCCCAUCCCCCUCAAUCCGAAUCUUCCCCCGGAACCCAAUCCAUGGCGCCGCAGCGCUCGCUGCCCUCGGCCUCCUCACGCCGCCGCCGCUCGUCCUCCUCGACUUCCCCCGCGUGCGUUCUCCUCUUCCUCUCCUCUGCGCCACGCCGGCUUCCGAUCCCGCGCCUCCAACCCCUGAUCCAUCGACGCUGGCGGAGUGCCCUUCGGCGGAGAGAAGGCCCAGGGCGACACCGGCCCCCAAUCCCAUGCGUCGAGCCCCUGCUUCGUGCAUGGUGCUGGAGCACCCUUCAGCGCCGAGGAGGCGCAGCGCGACAAGGCCGCCGCCGGCGUCGGUGCUCCCUGGCGCGACACGACCUCCGCCGGCGUCGGUUCUCCAAGCACAUCCACUCCGACGACGCCCAGGUCCUCUCUAGUUGUUGUUUGUUCCGUUUGUCGAAGCUUCGGCCAGCCUGCUGUUCGUUGCCGUGUCGAGAUGUUGCAAGGUUAAAAUGGCAUGGACGAGUACUCAUUUAUUCAUGGAGCUAGCGCAGAGCAUCCUUUUUUGAUAGAGGGAUUUGGGCAUCAAUCCUUGGCCUUGCUCCUGAUUAUGUAUGGGAAGUGGGAGUGCUAAUUAGGCAUUGGAUGUAUACUUUGCCUAUGAAGAUUAGUGGAACUGCUCAAAUUUACCUCAAAUAUAGUUACAAGGUUACAUUCUUCUUCACUUAUAUAUGCUCUUUUUUAUGCACUCUUGUUUCAUUUAUGGAUUUGGUGUAUCCUCAAGUAUGUAAAUCCACAAGGUAUAUAAUUGGUACAGGAUUAAGCACAAAUUAUUGAGAGCUGAUGCUGAACAAUGCACUUGAACUUUGAGCAAUCUGUCAGCCAUUGUUCAAAUAACAUCUUUAUGUGCUUAGGAUUAGGAGGAUAUAUAUGAACCCAACUUCGACACAGGUUUUGCAUUGGCUGCAUAGGCCGCUGCCCCGUUUAUUAAGUUUGCUAUCCAUCUUACUCACAUUGUUGGUUGUGGCUGCCAUCAUCAUUAUAUUACAGGUUCUUCAUUUCCUUCUGUUGUGCCACCCUGCAUUCUUAACUAUAUGCUCUUUAUGGAAAUCAUAGGUUAAUGAAAAAGGCUAUCUCAUUGCAGGAGACAUGUUCAUUUUUUUUGAAGGAUAAACUCUUCAUGCCCCAACUACAACAAGAGGAGAUAGCUCAAGAUGCACUUUUGGUAUUGUUCUGCAAUCUGUUUACACAUCCGGGACUGCUGUUGUUGUUGCUUGUGGUUGUCUCAUGAUCUUGGCUGUUGGUGGCUGGUACCAGCUCAGGUGCUACUCUAUUCUUGUCGCUUCCUUCAUGCCUUCCUAUACGCACGCACGCUCGAUCUUUUUUCUUUUGUAUGAUGUUAUCCUAGGAUAUUGUUGUUGGAACUGCUGUUAUUGUUGCUACGGGUUGCUCAUGAGCUUAGUUACAUUUUUAGGUUGCCCUGCUGGAUGCCAUUUUUAGGUUGUUGUGUACCUACGGAUAGUUCGUUGUUCUGCAAUACCAUAUUUAGUCCCACUUUGUUUACAUGAUUGCUGCUACAUUCCGGAAACAAUGGUCUGUUGGUUGCAGAAUUAUAGUGGCUAGCUGGGACAACUAAUUCAUUUCUUGGUCUUGAUCAAAGAUAACUGGAUUAUUGCCCUGCUUUAUCCAGAAAUAUGAGACGAAGGGAGCCACCGGCGCUCUCAGCGGUUAGCGCAUUUUGACCAUCGGAUCAAUUUGCUUGAUGGGUUUCUGGGCGUCCGAUCGAGCGGUGGAAGGACGUCGGCUGUCGGAUCGAAUCCCCCUCCCCUGUAGCAUGGUUGAUCCCGUUUGGCUUGCCCCGUCGAUUACUCCUUCCGUUUGACCGGUUGUCGCUGACCUGGGGGGUCCCGGCGGGUGGGCCGCGCCCGUCAGCGAGCGGGUGUGCGGGUGCAGCCGGUGCGUUCAGUCGUGCGCGCGCCUGCGGUAAAUAUCUCGUGCCACCGCACGUAAAUCUUGCCCCCCGCCGAGGGCUUUUUCGUCAUUUCCUGUCCAGGCCGCGUGCGUGGUGGACGGUGGUUGGCUCCGUGCGGCUAUGUGGUGGGGGAGGGCGGCUGGCUCGCUUCUCGUUCGCCCCCUUCGUUCCCUUCUCUCUGUCUCUCCUCCCCGUCGCCCCCCCCCCCCCCCCCCCCCCGUCCCCCGUCCCCCAAUCUGAAUCAUCCUUGGCCGCUUUGGUGCCAUUGGCAUUCAUGCUCGUCGGUGGGAUGGUGCAAGGCGCAACUCAGACGUGGUUCCUCACCGGUUGGACGGCGUUCAGGCGAAACCCCGGUGCCCACUGAGUACUGCCUUGGCUACAACCUCCCUCGGUGAGCUCCAUCUUCCCCUGCUCUGCUUAGGCUAUUGUAUGGGACAUGGCCAGGCUAUGAUGAUUAGUUAUGGAUGAUAUAGGCAUGCUCUCGAGUAAUCGAGGCACUUGUGGGUAUUAAUUUGGAUCCUCCGUCGUUUCUUUGAACUGUUUUGAUCAUGUUCUCAUUUUAGUGACUCUGUCCUUGGAUGGUCAUUUCUGAUGAGUGAUAACCAAGGCAGUUUCACCCUCGUAAGAACAUAUUGAUCUGGUGAUCCAUCCAGAAAUAAGACCCGCGACAAGUUCCCUGGCUCCUCGGAUGGCUCCUCGGAUCUCAGGCACUUUUGGCCGUCGGAUCGAUUUCCUGAUGCGAUUCUGGCCGUCGGAUCUCGAUCCGGAUUGAUCUCGGCCGUUGGAUCGAGCCCGAGCUCCUAUAGCAAUGAAUAGUUACUCCCGCGGUGAGAUAUCUCGUGCCACCGCGUUUGAAUCACGUGCCCCGUCGGUCGGAAGCCAUUCUUGCUAGGGCGAUGAUGAUUAGCCAUGGCUGAAAUAAGUGUGCCUUUGAGCAAUCGAGGCACCUGUGGGUAUCAAGUUGGAUCCUUCCUUGUCUCUAGAAUCCUUUUUGAUCCUGUGAUACUUAUUGUUCUGUCCUUGGAUGGUCAUUCUUGUUGAGUGAUAACCAGGGCAGCUCCACUGUAUAAACAGAUUGAUCUGGCGAUAGGAGAUGAUGGGGGUAGAUUAUACGAUCGAGGAAAGGCGAAUCUGAGCCCACUAUGCAUGGAACCCCGAACCCUUUUUAUUUGUAUUUAAAGGUGUUGCUUAUUUAUGCUCCAGUGUUUAUAGUCGUCUUAUGUAAAUAUUUCUUCUCUCUCAUACCUUUGUUGCAUAUACGUUGUUCUUGAUCUUUUAUUGUUUGUUGUUGGUCCUUGAUCUAAUCUGGUUAAGAGUAAGUUGCACUUUGUUAUUCUGGGAUAAGCGAUGGUUCGCAAUGCUAUUGGUUCUUCAUGAGUUCAGAGGAGGAUUUCUGAUAUGAGUCAUGCCAGUAAGCUUUCUUGCAGGUACCCACACUUCUCUCUUCCUCCUGAUUAGCCUGAUCUCUUUUCUAUACGUGUCUACAAGUUGUGUGUCUACAAGCUGUGAAUUACAUAUGAAUUUAUUUAUUUUCUUUCCGGAGCCGCGGCCGCUGCCCUGUGACCAGAAGCAUUGGGGAUCUCGAGAGGGAAUUUUGCAGUUGUGGCCAUUUUAAAAAUAGACCUCUGUGAAAUCUAUGUACUCCUGAUACUAUUAUAUCAUGCUACAUUUCCUGUGAUAUAUCAAAUAUCUAUCCUUUGUCCUAAACAAGAGGCCUUACGUUUAUACUGAGCAAUACUAAUUUGGUCAGUAUAUAAUAUUGCAAUGCUUAUAACCCUUUGGUCAGUGACCCAUCUGAAUUGAGAUGCAUCAUAGUUAUCUUAAUAUUAUUUGUUCUGUUUCUUACUCACUGAUCCAUUCCACACAACAAGUAUUCUUCCUGAGAACUAUGCUCAGAUAGUUGAAUAUAUUAUUUUGUACUUAAUUGUUGAAAGAUGGAUUUGUAUUACUAAUGCUGAGAUGGGCAUUACAAUUUUCUUUCAAGGGAACAGACCAAACCAAACUGCGACUUUAUUUGUAAAUAUUUGAAAUUUAUAUUAUGUAUCUUAUGUGAUCUCAGAGGACUUAAUUUUUGUGUGGGGACCUCAAGCUACCUUUAGUGACUUACAAGCUAUCAACCAACAAGAGUUUUCCCUGCUUUUGGAGCCUGCUAAGCUAUCAACAAACAAAGAGGUACUAUGCUGAGACUGAAGAGGAGGCUAGCCAGCGGCCCAUCUCUCUUGCCGUCACCGCUGAGCCGCCAUGUCUCCUUCAGAGGCUUAUUGUAUUGCUACAUGUUUAUGCUUCUUAUCCACUCACCCAUUGUAGUGUAGGUCUGUUGUGGCAAUUGAAUGCUUCAAAGGAUUUUAAUGGAGUUCAUUGUGGCUGAGUCGUGAAUCUCCAGCUUGCUUCCAUGUCUUUUCUCACUAGAGACACCUCCUGCCGGUGACGGCGAUGACCGCUACCCUGCUCCUCUCCCGGCAAA